rnacentral:rRNA from 1 species
AUUGAACGCUGGCGGCAUGCUUUACACAUGCAAGUCGAACGGCAGCACGGGCUUCGGCCUGGUGGCGAGUGGCGAACGGGUGAGUAAUAUAUCGGAACGUACCCAGAAGUGGGGGAUAACGUAGCGAAAGUUACGCUAAUACCGCAUACGAUCUAUGGAUGAAAGCAGGGGACCGCAAGGCCUUGUGCUCCUGGAGCGGCCGAUAUCUGAUUAGCUAGUUGGUGAGGUAAAGGCUCACCAAGGCGACGAUCAGUAGCUGGUCUGAGAGGACGACCAGCCACACUGGAACUGAGACACGGUCCAGACUCCUACGGGAGGCAGCAGUGGGGAAUUUUGGACAAUGGGCGCAAGCCUGAUCCAGCAAUGCCGCGUGAGCGAAGAAGGCCUUCGGGUUGUAAAGCUCUUUUGUCAGGGAAGAAACGGUAGAGGCUAAUAUCCUUUGCUAAUGACGGUACCUGAAGAAUAAGCACCGGCUAACUACGUG